CAGGCAGUGGAGCGUUUUGGGGUGGGGUGACUGCGUACCUUUUGUAUAAUGGGUCAGCGACUUAUAUUCUGUAGCAAGGUUAACCGAAUAGGGGAGCCGCAGGGAAACCGAGUCUUAACUGGGCGUUAAGUUGCAGGGUAUAGACCCGAAACCCGGUGAUCUAGCCAUGGGCAGGUUGAAGGUUGGGUAACACUAACUGGAGGACCGAACCGACUAAUGUUGAAAAAUUAGCGGAUGACUUGUGGCUGGGGGUGAAAGGCCAAUCAAACCGGGAGAUAGCUGGUUCUCCCCGAAAGCUAUUUAGGUAGCGCCUCGUGAACUCAUCUUCGGGGGUAGAGCACUGUUUCGGCUAGGGGGUCAUCCCGACUUACCAACCCGAUGCAAACUACGAAUACCGAAGAAUGUUAUCACGGGAGACACACGGCGGGUGCUAACGUCCGUCGUGAAGAGGGAAACAACCCAGACCGCCAGCUAAGGUCCCAAAGUCAUGGUUAAGUGGGAAACGAUGUGGGAAGGCCCAGACAGCCAGGAUGUUGGCUUAGAAGCAGCCAUCAUUUAAAGAAAGCGUAAUAGCUCACUGGUCGAGUCGGCCUGCGCGGAAGAUGUAACGGGGCUAAACCAUGCACCGAAGCUGCGGCAGCGACACUAUGUGUUGUUGGGUAGGGGAGCGUUCUGUAAGCCGUUGAAGGUGGCCUGUGAGGGUUGCUGGAGGUAUCAGAAGUGCGAAUGCUGACAUAAGUAACGAUAAUGCGGGUGAAAAACCCGCACGCCGGAAGACCAAGGGUUCCUGUCCAACGUUAAUCGGGGCAGGGUGAGUCGACCCCUAAGGCGAGGCCGAAAGGCGUAGUCGAUGGGAAACAGGUU
rnacentral:rRNA from 1 species